UUUUUUUUUUUUGCUAUAAAACUAUAGGAUUUUUCAUUAAAAAAAUGAAUAAAAAGAAGAUAUAUUUGGCCUUCACCAAAAUUGUCAUAACAGAUAAUAAAAGGCUAGUAACUCUAACUCAUGUAGUUGAGGCACUCAUAUGCAGUGCCACUAAGGAAGCGUAGAAACCAUCUUUGAUAUUGAUCAAAGCCUCAUGCUUUCCCUUCUCUACGAUAACUCCACUUUUAACAACUGCAAUAACAUCUGCAUUCUUUAUUGUAGAUAAUCGAUGGGCUACAACAAUUGUGGUCCUGUUCACCAUUACUCGGUCUAAUGCAUCUUGAACUACUCUCUCAGAUUCAGCAUCCAGAGCACUGGUAGCUUCAUCUAAUAGCAGUAUCUUUGGACUUUUGAUUAUAGCACGAGCAAUGGCUACCCUUUGUUUUUGCCCUCCGGACAACUGGACUCCUCGCUCUCCCACAACAGUAUCAUACCCCUGUUGUAAGCUACUAAUGAACUUGUGUGCGUUGGCCAUUUCUGAUGCAGCUAAAAUUUCUGCCUCAGUUGCCUCUUCAUCCUUUCCAUAUGCAAUAUUGGCCCGAAUUGUAUCGUUGAACAAGACUGGUUCUUGGCUUACAAGUCCCAUUUGCUGCCUCAACCACUUCAGUUGCAGCCUUUGAAUUUCAACUCCAUCAAGAGUUAUAUGACCGGAAUCCGGAUCAUAAAAUCUUUGUAACAAUGAGAUGACGGUUGAUUUCCCACUUCCACUUUCUCCAACUAGAGCCACAGUCUUGCCUGAAUGAAUAGCCAAGCUAAGGUCUCGGAAAAUUUGAACAUCUGGCCUUGAUGGAUACUUAAAGCUUAUAUGACGAAGCUCAAUUUCUCCUCGUACAUUCUCUAGAGUCAUUCCUGACUCAUCGCUUGGAUCUAUCUUUGACUUUCUGUCAAUAAUUGAAAAUAUUGAAGCAGCAGCAUUCUUGGCCUUGGAAGAGUCAGGAGCAAAAGAGCUUGAUUGAGAAAUUCCAAUAGCUGCCAUGGUUAAAGCAAAGAAAACUUGGAAAACAUCCGAGAAUUUUGUUUUCCCAUGCUGAACAAGCUGAGCUCCUGCAUAGAAACUGGUUGCAUAGACACAGAACAGCAAAAAGAAAGAUACACCAAAUCCGACUCCACUUAUAAGGCCUUGCCUUACUCCUGUCUUCAAAGGGCCUUCACAUUUCUUUUUGUACAGUUGCAUCACCUUUUCUUCCCCACAGAAAGAGGCAACAGUUCUUAUACUCCCUACUGCAUCAUUUGCAACUUGGCUUGCUUCCUCAUACAUCAUCUUUGCAUCUGCACUGAACCCUUGCAUGAACUUCACUUGAACAUAUCCGUUGAUUCCUAUGAGAGGGAUUAGUACAAGAAUAAUGAAGGCCAAUUGCCAACUUGCAGUGAAGGCAAUGACUAGACCUGCUACUGCUGAUGAAAUAUUUUGGACCAACUGAGCUAGUGCGUCUCCAACUAAAGCACGAAUUAUUGCUGCAUCUGCUGAAAGCCUAGCACCAAUUGCACCACUUGAGUGCUCAGGAUCAUCAAACCAACCAACCUCCAUAUGAACUACCCUCUCAAAGCAAAUCGUUCGAAUCCGUUGGAUUAGUUUACUUCCAGCCACAGCAAAGAAGUAAAAUUGAGAUGGAAGUACCAAAAAUGAUGCCACCCCAAGUACCAUAAAAAUUAUUGCCCAGAACUUAGUAUCUUUUCUUAAUUCAUGAGGUGGUUCAUAAAAUGAUUUGAUCACUCUAGAAAUGAGUAUUCCAAAAAUUGGAAAGAUAACACCGUUGAUGCAUGCGGCUAUAGUUCCAAUCGUAAGCAUAGGAAUCUCAGGCUUGUUAAGAUAUGCAAGUCGACGGAUUGGGACCUUAGGAGCUUUCUCUUGCGGUGGAGAAACUUCAGUUUCUUCCUGGGAAUUUUCAGUGACAUUAAUUCCUGUAGGUAAACCAAAUGAGACUGGGAACGAAUGGCGACUGCUAUUUCCUACUCCAGAUGAUCCCCGACUAAUGGAUCGUCGCAGUGAAAUUCUUUGACUUGACUGUCUAAAGGAUUCAGAAGAAAGAUCUGAUCUUUUAUGGUCCUCUGCUGCAUGUUCUGAAUCUUUAUUUACCUCUUGUAAGCGUAUAAGCUGAGAGUAUGCUCCAUCAGGAUCCGAGAGUAACUCUGAAUGUGAGCCUUUUUCAACCAUCUUUCCACGGUGAAUUACAGCAAUUACAUCAGCAUUCCUAAUUGUACUCAGACGAUGGGCAACAAUGACAGUUGUUCGGUUGACCAUAAUCCUGUCUAAUGCCUCCUGAACUAUCCUUUCAGAUUCUGCAUCGAGUGCACUUGUGGCUUCAUCUAAAAGUAAAAUCCUUGGAUCUUUUAAGAUGGCUCUCGCUAUUGCAAUUCUUUGCUUUUGUCCCCCAGAUAGCUGAGUUCCAUGCUCACCAGCCAUGGUGUCUAGUCCCUGAGGUAGUUUAUCAAUGAAUUUAGCAGCAUUGGCAAGUUCGGCUGCAGCUCUUAUCUCCUCAGUCGUUGCUCCAUCUUUUCCAUACGCAAUAUUAUCCCUAAUGCUGGCUGUAAACAACACAGGUUCUUGGCUGACAAGUCCAAGUUUUUCCCUAAUCCACUUCAGCUGGAACUCUUUGAGGUUGACCCCAUCAAUAAGAACCUCCCCAGCUUGUGGAUCAUAAAAUCUCUCUAUCAGACUGAUAACAGUCGACUUCCCACUUCCACUUUGUCCAACCA
rnacentral:misc_RNA from 1 species